CCGCCGUGCGCGGGGAGGAGGGCCCUAGCCCGGCGUGCGGCCAAUCCGGGCGGGCGCUGGCGGCGAGCAGGGCAGAAUGGGCUGUAGUUUAGUGAAAUAGGAAAGCUGCAAACAGUGUGGAGUGUUCCUGGUGUAAAUAAAAGGGGGAAGAAAAAGUUUCUGCAAGUCGCAGCUCUGCAGCCUCGCUCGGGCACCGGCACGGGGGUGCGUGCGUCGCGAAGACCCAACACACUGGACUUUAUUGUGCUGCGUUAGCACGCUCUUCCUAUUGUUUGUGUUUUUUUCAAAAUAUGGCAAAGGUUCAGGUGAACAAUGUAGUGGUGUUGGAUAAUCCUUCUCCCUUCUACAACCCCUUCCAGUUCGAAAUCACAUUCGAGUGCAUAGAGGACCUGUCGGAAGAUUUGGAAUGGAAAAUAAUUUAUGUGGGUUCAGCUGAAAGUGAAGAGUAUGAUCAGGUGUUAGACUCUGUUUUGGUAGGACCUGUUCCUGCGGGCAGACACAUGUUUGUAUUUCAGGCUGAUGCACCUAACCCAGGGCUUAUUCCAGAUGCAGAUGCAGUAGGUGUAACAGUUGUGCUAAUUACAUGCACCUAUCGAGGUCAAGAAUUUAUUAGAGUUGGCUACUAUGUAAACAAUGAAUAUACCGAAACAGAACUGAGAGAGAAUCCACCAGUAAAGCCAGAUUUUUCUAAGCUUCAAAGGAAUAUUUUGGCAUCUAAUCCCAGAGUCACAAGAUUCCACAUUAAUUGGGAGGACAACACUGAAAAACUGGAAGAUGCAGAGAGCAGUAACCCAAAUCUACAGUCACUGCUUUCUACAGAUGCAUUACCUUCAGCAUCAAAGGGGUGGUCAACAUCAGAAAAUUCAUUAAAUGUUAUGUUAGAAUCUCAUAUGGACUGCAUGUGACUAACCACCAUCAUUUUGGAAAUCCUAUGCACUGGCAUAAAUCAAGAUUCAAACCCUGUUGUGGCAGACAUGACACACUCAAGAAUACAUUGCCUGCCAUGAAGCUCUUGCACCGAGACAUCCCUAUUACCUGAGGCAUCCUUGAAGAUAAAAACUAGGCAGAAAAUUGUAAAGACUUAAGACAUUAUUAUGACACUAACACUUGAGUUACUCCUUCCAGUCCUCAGCAGCCUUAUAAAUUUCCUGUGACUAUAUGUGCAUUUAAAAUUGUAAUCUGUCAUGUCAGAUUACAAGAAUAUAUUUCUGCUAGUUACUAGUAACUGCCCAAACUGUAAACCCUUGUAGGUUCCAGGCCCUUAAAAAAAAGAAAAGGUAAAUUUCAUGAAUCCUCUCAGUAUAGCUCUAGAUAAAAAUAGAACACUUUCUCUUCGCUUUCUGCAAUCUCUAAUAGGGAUGAAGAUGUCCCAAGCAGUUAGCGCUUCUGUCUUUCCACAUCAUUAGUGAAACAGUCUUAACUUCCAACGUGUAUUUUUUAAAUGAGAAAGGAAUGUACAUGUGCAUGUUUGUUUCCUGUAUGGAAACUCAGCAGUACGGAUGGUAGCUGAAUGAAUUAAUGAAAUCCAUUAGUAUUUGGAACCUAAUUCUAAUAUGUGCUCUUGCAAAUAUCUCUGUAAUUGUUUAAAGUGAUGAUUGGCAAUUUAAAAAUAUUAACACUAAUACCUGUAUGACUUAACACAAAGAACUGGUCCCCCAAACCAGCAGUUACUUCACUUGAGGGCUGAAAUUAUGUGAACUUUUAAGACUGACCUUUUAAUUUUCAGUUAUGCUGCAACUUUAAGGUGUACAGUGACAUUUUGAGAUUUUUCAUGCGCUUUACUGUUCUAUUUAUAAAUCUACUUAAGUUCUCUCUUAAACAUAAGCAUGUAAAUAACUUAGUCAUCUGCUGAAAGGCUAAUGACGGCUGCCUUGCACUACGGUGACUGUAGUAGUAUUUCAAAUGCUUGCACCUAUUGAAGAUUCAAAUGAAAACGUGAUCAAAUACAAGCUGUAACCAAAUCCAUCCAUCAGUAGCAUGAAGGCUCCUUAGAAGCAUAUGCCACCAAGUGAUGGAAGCAAACUGUAUUACUGCUAUUGCAGAAUCAACUACAAAAUACAGUCUGCAAAACUAUUUCACCCAGCAAACCAAUUAAUUUAGAGAAAUCAGAAAAUGAAGAUCUAUUGUUCUGUUCAGGAGAAAAAAAGACAGCUGUGAACGUGAACUCAGUUGUGAUAAACUUCAAGCUAGACCGGAUGGUGUGAUUCUGCAGUAGAAUUGGGCACCACCUUACCUGAUACACUAACACAUCCUAGAUACAGCUGGCCCACCAGUUAUGGCAAAAAGAAUAACCUUACUGUGCUUGGUGAAAACCAGAGGAGAAAAACCGUACCUCAUGAGAGCACCUCAUGAUCUUUGCAAGAGAAAUGGUCGUCUUAUAGCUUUUUGAGAGACUGGAUGCCUCUCAGGUCUUCUAUAACUUUGCUCAGAUCUUAGCAGUCCACACAUAGUGUUCUGAAUUUGCCAUUUCCUGGCAAAAUCACAUUCCAGAGACGUGGAAUUUGAGAAACCAAAUUCCAGUAUUCCAGAGGCUUCAGGUCUGAUCAGGCAACAUCACAGCACAAACUUAGCAUUAAAAGAUACAGUGGUAUUAAAGAUACUUGGUAUUAAAAGAUACAGUGCAUAUACGGCAUCUCUGUAAAGACUUGUCCCUGAUCUCUGGCAGUUUCAAACCACAGGGCUGUAAGUAUGAAAUACAGACAGUGCAGACAGCACAGCAUUACAAUUUCAAGGUCGAAGAUGAGUUUACCUCCAUUUGCAGAGACCACCAAGAUGCAAGGGAAUGCUACAGAUUCUGUUGGCAGGACUGGUGAUGCAUCUCACUGUCUUUUUACCUCAGCCAGAUAGACUCGAUGCCAUCAGACGAUUGUCAUAACGCUUAUCAGAGGCUACUCAUGUACAAAGAAGUAAACGGAUCAGACACGGGCCUCAACCACUGAUUUUCUGGAAGUCAGCUCAGAUUGGAGGCUAGCCGCUUGCAGCUGUACAAAGACUGUCUGCUGCCAUCUGAAAAUGGUGCAGGGAAGAACAAAAAAAACCAAACCAAAACACCUUAUGUACACCACAUAUACUCUUGGCAAAUUCUCAUUUACCAGAGACAGAAAAAGAGCAAGGUUAACUAAAUCUUGUGGCUUCUGUCUGGGCAGCUGCAGGAGAUCCUUCAUGUACUUAACUACCCUACCCCUUAUCCAUAGCACAGUGGUCUACAACCUUGCAGAUUCUCUCUCUCUUUUUUUUUUUAUUUUUUUUUUUUGAGAGCCACAGAAGUUUGGUCCAGAGAUGAUGGGUUAAUCCUGUUGUUGCUAGCUGGAGGGCUCUGCUCAGUGCCAACCGGGAAGAUGCAACAAAACUGACAACUUCCUCUUAAGGGCUGGCAGCGUGGAGGGCACUGCUCAUGCUAGGCCUUCCCAUUUGUAUUUAUGUUUCCAGUUAAAUUUCUGCUUUGUAAGAACUGGUCUUGUAGUGUACAAUAUGACAGCUGGGCUGCAGAAGACAGGUGGAGGGAUUUUUGUUGGAUUUUUGGUCUAGGCAAAGAAGAAUGCCUAAAGAAGAAAAGCCAGCUGGAGUCACCAAGGAGGUGGUUACAGGCAAACCCCAGGUUUGUACCUGGAAUCUAGAAAGAAAAGGCCCUUUCAGGUGGGGGUGGAGGGAGGAUACUCUUCCAACAUUUCCAGCCUUCGGUAAUGCUGGCUUGGAGGCAUGGCUGCGCACUCGCUGUCCACGGCAUGAGGGACGUGACUGGCCUCCCUUGCAGACAGAGGAAGGAGGUGUGUGUCCUGCAGAAGGGCUAUAGCAGAGGUAAGAGACAACAGCUGUGCAUUAACAGCAGUGUUAAGGACUGGCUGCAAUGUCAGGAACUUUGGAGGAGUUCUUGGGUCUCCCUCCAAAAUGCCCCUGGACCACAAGAUAAGGAGGCCUACCUUUCAGCAUAAGGGGGUCCUCCAGUUUGUCCUGUCUCACUAGAAAGGUGUGGCAUACCUACACCGAUACAAACCAGGAAGGGGCUUCAUGGCAUCGUAAAGGGAAUCCUGAAGACAUAGGAUAUCCAAAAAUCAACUGCUUGAAAUGCCUGCCAUUUCAGCAGCAGGCCAAAAAAUUCUGAUGAAGGCCUGCCUGGAUGUAUGAUGCCAGAAGCGCGUAAGACCUGAAACCUUCAGCCAACAUGACGAAGAUGUUGCUACUGCAGUAUUUCCUGUCCAUCCUAACUACAGGUCUUCAGAUACAGAUAUACGAACAGUCCAGAAUUUCUGAAGACUGUUAGCUACAUGGCUAAAUACUCUUUUGCAUGCAGGUAGUCAAGGUGAACUGUCUCAGGACAGAACCACCUUGGAGCAACAUUACUGAGAGGAAAUUAAGGAUUUGCAAGAGAUGAGACAUUGUUACAGACGUGGCAUAUCUCUGAUGAGGUCUGAUAACAACUUCAAAAUUAAUUCCUUCAAGAAGUCUAGCAGACUUCCUACAGAAUUAAGGCCUCUUCAACUUGAGGCCCAACUGUUUAAGGAACAGCCAAUGAAGUCUUGUUCUCCGGAAUGUAUUUUCAAGGUACAUGCUGAUAGAAAAUACUUCAAGUUCAUGUAAAAUUAUGAAUAUUCAGGAAAACAGUGAAGAAUCCUGCGGUAGAAGUUAAGAUCCUAAAAGAGUGGCCUAAAGGCUGCAUCUCUUAAUAACCUGAUGAGGGCCAGGGUAUAGAUACGCAGUGGUAAACUGCUAACAUGUUCCCCAGCACUGCCUUGGCCGGUAUCAAGUUGGGAAGGCCCAGGAACAGUUUGGGGAUCUACAAACAGGGAAAAAGAUCUCCCAUUUCAGUGUCUUGCAUACCUCAGGAUACUGACACCACACAUUCUAUUCCCAACUGAGGCUGGAUGGCUCAUGCCAGCCACUUUGAACUGGUUUCUAAUGUCUCAGAAGAGAGACAACUGUUGGCACCUGAAGCUUGCCUAGCAGGGAGAUGCUCACUACGAAAAAGAAAAUUGGUUGUUUCCCCUUGAGUUAGUUGCCUUCAAUGAAAAGGAAAAAAAAAAGUAGCAAACAGCUGUUGGCAUGAUAUGGACAAUGUUAGAUGUUGCAAAAUGUCAGCAAAAAGGCAGUACUCAAGGCUCUGUAGAGGCUGUAAGAGGAGAGGCCAGAAGGCUGCAUUUCAUAUGGUUCAGGAAGCCAAUAUUGUACAGAACUGGAGAGCUGGAGAAACAGCUGAUACUCUCCCAGAUUUUUAGACAAGCUGUUCUAAAAACAGUUCACAAAAUUCUUUAAGCAGUCCAUCUGUGGAGGGACACACCACCAAACAAAACUUUGCAGAAAUCUGAACAGCCAAAUAUGUACCAGGAAGCAGCAGGAUGACUCUGGUCCAUGAGCUCCAGACCCAGCAGCAGCAGCAGCCAUGUGUUGGUUCCCAUCCCUACGGAGUCAAACACACCACUGCGGAUCUCAAGCUCCAGGGGAAAAUGAAAUAUUUUCUUACUAGUGAUUGUCUCAUCCAAUUAUGCACAAGCAGCGCUGUGGCUCUGGGGACUGCAAAACAGUUGGUUAAACUCAGUGGUAAGGUAAGAAACCAACAGAAUUUGUUAAACCCCACUAAGUCUCUUUUUUCUGGAAAAUUAUGUAUCAAUUUAU